GACGCACGUGUGAUCCGUAGUUCGAAGAUCAGCUGGAAAGUUUAUUCCCGGCUUUUCACUCGGACCUGGAAUUUUGCAGACACACCGUGUAUAGAUUUUUGGCAGAGCCCUCCGGUUCUUAACCGGCGACUUCUUGUUUCUUGACGCUCUAGAUCCACGUCCACGUGCAAACAGCGCAGACUCGACUCGUUGCUCUUCCUCUGGCAAAGGUGUGUAUGCAUGCCAGUCAGAAGACCUUCAGUCUGACGUUAAACGUUCAAUUCCGCGGGUAGCUAUUGCGUCGCUUCGACAGUACGAAACACCCACGCGCUCACCCGUUCCGUUUUCCCGAAACGUAUCGAACAUCGAUUGUUGUUCUACGGUCUCGUUUCGCGAUUUCCUUCUGUCUGUCGACUUGACUUCUAAUUGAUCGUUUCUGACGAUCGCUCGUGUUGUCCGCGAAUCGGGAUUAAACUCAUUGGGGUGUCUAUCGAUCGAUUUGUUCUUCGUGUAAAUUGAUCGAAUGAUCGUAUUUUUUGUGCCAGAAAAAUUUUUAACUUCGUACAUUAGAUUAUAUAAUUGUUCGAGGCCGUGAUGCAUAUUAUGAUUGAUCCAGUUGGAAUUAUAGCCAAUAAUAGUUAAGCACCGACGGCUGAAAUUGGAUUUUUGGAGGGAACGAGAAUUAUUGACCUCACGGAACAACUGUGAAGUUCACUUUUACUUGAUGAAGCAUGAAGCUACAUUGCGGCUCUUUGAGUCCGUGGUUCGAUAAAUAAAUAACUGGUGUCGGUAUCUUCGUCAUUGUUGUGCGUUUAUUUUUGGAAAACCGUGAACGAUAAUAAUUUCGUGAUAUCAUUAAUAAAAAUCAAACCACGGCGCGCGCAUUCGUUGUCUCUAGUAAAAAUACACGUGUAGCAAGGUUUGCGGCUAAUGCGUUGGUGAUUUAAUGAUUCGAGCAUGAGAGACGUAAAACGCCUUGCAAGCACUCGUCGGGAGUAGGAAUGUUAUAAAUCCUCUCUCAUGAGAGAGAUGAAAGUCUCUUUAUUUCUUUUCUCAUAAUUUUUAAAAGAGAAAGAGUGCUUGCAAAGAAUUUCACUGUGUCUGGACUUUAUUUUCGUUUGAACUGCCAUCAGUGUCGUCUGUGUUUAAACGUCAUUCAAUAAAUAUUGGAAUCUGGUUGGAUUGUUGAGGCAUCAACGCCAAACAAAGAACUAUAUACGUCAAUUUUGUACACUUCGGAAGAAUAGUGGUACCAUUGAUGAGUACGUACAACUGUAUGCACAAGGCAGUGUAUCAGCCACAAGUCGAUGUCGUUUCUAUAUCUACGGGGUUGAUUAAAGUGAUGAAGGAGCGGCUUCGAUAAGCCUUAGCUUGAUCGAUGUCAAUUAAAUUCUCAUUUUUACUUGAUACAUCUUAUCGACCUCACUAUUCGAUUAUUUCAAAUAAACAAAAAAUCUCUCAAAAUCUGUAGAAAAUCGUUCGAUCAAUUCAUCAUCAAUCAAUUAUUUAGCAACUGAGAUUUGAAUCGUUUUAUUUUUAAAAUAUGAAAAUAAUUAUUUUUCCUGAUUAAAUUUAUAUUUUCGUAUAUCGAUCGUGACUAAAUAUGUCAUAAUUUUAAAAAUAACCGAGGCAUUAAAGGGAUAGUAUUUUCUUUAAGAUCUCCUUACUUUUUGGUAAUUGUCUUGGAACUCGGUGGAAAGGGUAUGCAAGCAAAGGUAUAAUAAAUGCGACGAUCUAGCCAAAAUGCCAAUGUACUGUCAACCGACUUUUGCCGUAGAAAGAACGCGUAACCUUUAAGCUGGUGAAAUCUUCUAACAUAAUAAUUUGCUUCUACCAAUCCACUUACAAAAUUUAUUUGUCAGUAAAGUUAUGGGUUAUUUCAAACGUUUGGUAUUUAUUGUUAUAAUACGGAAAGUAUCUACAAAUUAAAAAGGAACUGAACAAUCUCAUCUUCAUGCACCACCAAAUUUCAUUCAAUCUAAUUGCCACUUACAAUUAACUCUAUACGACCGACCUCUCAUACGCUACAAUAAAUAUCCUAUACAUAGACGAAUAAAAUUAAAUUAGUAGAAUGAAAAUAAAAAAAUAUAUAGAUGUAUACAAAAAGUCUUAUUUUGAUAAUUCUAGUCUUAAAUAAUACAAAUUCUAAUCUCUCGUUUAAAAUCUUAAAUCGUAUACGUUGUUGAAUAAAGAAAAAGAAAAAAAAGAAAACGAAAGAAAAGAAUCAGUGGAAUUAUUCGUGGAUGUAACGUAAUAUUCUUCCAUUGGGGAAGUCCCGCACAAAAAUGUCCAUACGUAACAUCAUCGCGU